GGGGGCAUAGCUCAGUUGGUAGAGCGUCUCGUUCGCAAUGAGAAGGUCAGGGGUUCGACUCCCCUUGCCUCCACCA
rnacentral:tRNA from 1 species